rnacentral:rRNA from 1 species
UACGGGGGGGAGCAAGCGUUGUUCGGAUUUACUGGGCGUAAAGGGCGCGUAGGCGGUAGCACAAGUCAGUUGUGAAAUCUCCGGGCUUAACUCGGAAAGGUCAACUGAUACUGUGCGACUAGAGUGCAGAAGGGGCAACUGGAAUUCUCGGUGUAGCGGUGAAAUGCGUAGAUAUCAGGAGGAACACCAUGGCGAAGGCAGCUCGCUGGGACGGUACUGACGCU